GUGAAGAUUAGAGGACACACAGAGAGAGAUUAAUUGAUCACUAUUGGCAUUAUUUGAAUCCUAGAUCAAGGGACAUAUUCGUGUUUGCAGUGCUUUAAAGCUUGACGCGAAUGUAGCCACUAACAAAGCAUAUCUCCCUCUCAAGCUCUCAUGGACUCUCUUCUAAUUGCCCAGUGAAAGAGCAGCAUCAAGAUGCUUGGGCAACAGCUAAUCGUUUGUAAGUGCUAAAAGCAGGGGAGCGUUUAUAGAAUGAACAGCAAUCAAAUAUGAAAUCCAAAAACGAAGGAAAGGGAAAGAAUGCUCUUUGAAGACUCAGGAUAGGAGAAUUACCAAUGCAACGAAUAGAGCUUGUCUGAAAAUGAUGUUUGUCUCUAUCUUUUGCAAUAAGACCAAUAUUUAUUAAAGUAUG